CAAGCUAUUUUCCUAUCUCAGUGAAUGGGAAGCAUACAUGAAGGGGCGGUAUAUGUGUAGGCUACUCGGCUGCCGUACUGGUUUACAAACUAACCAAGCAUUCCUAUGGAUACUGUGCCUUUUGUGUCGGUGUCUUUUUUUAGGUUUCAUUAGGAACUCAUAGGUUGCAUUGAAUUUGCAUACAAUGAGUGCAAGGGCAGCACGGCAGGCCUACACAAAGCGAUGGAAGAGGGCACGACGAGAGCUGGUACGACUUGAACAGGCUGAGAGAGAAGUGGCUCGUCUUCGCCAACGUCAAAGACCACAGCUACAGCUGCCAGAGGAGUGUGCAGAGGCGCCAGGGCUCAUGGCAAUAUCUGGAAGUUCUGUCAGCAACUCUCGCCCAGUCGGUCGCCCAGUGCUGGAUGGGUCAACUUUGACUCGCCCUUCAUCUUGGGUGCCAGUUGAAGCAGAACUUGUCGCACAGAGGGAGGUGACUCAGCCAUGGAGAUGGACAUGAGAGCUAUGAGGACAUCCAUGGUCCGCAUGGCACAGCGAAUUGACUCUAUGGAGGGCAAGAUGGAGGAGCUGCUCAGCCUCUUAAGGGGCUCAGUCACUUCCCUCUGCUCCGGUCGAAGACCUUUUGCCGUCACCCUGCUCGACAGUCACCGAGCUGCAAGACUUGGACCAAAGUCUUGGUAACCAGGAGAGGAGGAACAAAAUGCUACUUUUCUUGGCGUCCCUUGGAGGGUUGACUGCAGGUGCUGCCAUCCGUCGUAUGCUACGGCGGGUGGCAACCAACAACGUUCUUAAGGAGUACAGCCUGCGGGGCAGGAAGGCCAAGAAAUCCUUUCAGGACCUAACCCUCUGCAGGGUUU